rnacentral:rRNA from 1 species
UACGAAGGGGGCUAGCGUUGUUCGGAUUUACUGGGCGUAAAGCGCACGUAGGCGGAUCGUUAAGUCGGGGGUGAAAUCCUGGAGCUCAACUCCAGAACUGCCUUCGAUACUGGCGAUCUUGAGUCCGGAAGAGGUGAGUGGAACUCCUAGUGUAGAGGUGGAAUUCGUAGAUAUUAGGAAGAACACCAGUGGCGAAGGCGGCUCACUGGUCCGGUACUGACGCUGAUGCGCGAAAGCGUGGGGAGCAAACGGG